rnacentral:misc_RNA from 1 species
GAAAUGCGAUAAGUAGUGUGAAUUGCAGAAUUCAGUGAAUCAUCGAAUCUUUGAACGCACAUUGCGCCCCUUGGUAUUCCAUGGGGCAUGCCUGUUCGAGCGUCAUCUACACCCUCAAGCUCUGCUUGGUGUUGGGCGUCUGUCCCGCCCCCGCGCGUGGACUCGCCCCAAAUCCAUUGGCAGCGUUCCUUGCCCCCUCUCGCGCAGCACAUUGCGCUUCUCGAGGGCGGCUCCGGGACGCGAUCCAGCAAGAUGACCACCGUCUUUGACCUCGGAUCAGGUAGGGAUACCCGCUGAACUUCAGC